AGAACUGAAUAUGUGAUUAGUCGAAUGAUAAGGUAACGCUUUGAAAGGCUAACUUUAAUCCUCCGACUGGCAUGGACGUGAGUAAACACAGAAGUGUCAGAAGCUCGGUGAAGUCGGCAGAGAGAUACCGUAACAAGUAGAGUUGACGAAAAUCAUUUAGAGGUAAGUGAUGUAUCCUAUAUGCCGGAAGUCUAUAA
rnacentral:ncRNA from 1 species